UGCUUAACACAUGCAAGUCGAGCGGAAAGGCCCUUCGGGGUACUCGAGCGGCGAACGGGUGAGUAACACGUGAGCAACCUGCCCUAGGCUUUGGGAUAACCCCGGGAAACCGGGGCUAAUACCGAAUAUGACCUUUCCUCGCAUGAGGUUUGGUGGAAAGUUUUUCGGCCUGGGAUGGGCUCGCGGCCUAUCAGCUUGUUGGUGGGGUGAUGGCCUACCAAGGCGACGACGGGUAGCCGGCCUGAGAGGGCGACCGGCCACACUGGGACUGAGACACGGCCCAGACUCCUACGGGAGGCAGCAGUGGGGAAUAUUGCACAAUGGGCGGAAGCCUGAUGCAGCGACGCCGCGUGAGGGAUGACGGCCUUCGGGUUGUAAACCUCUUUCAGCAGGGACGAAGCGUAAGUGACGGUACCUGCAGAAGAAGCGCCGGCCAACUACGUGCCAGCAGCCGCGGUAAGACGUAGGGCGCGAGCGUUGUCCGGAUUUAUUGGGCGUAAAGAGCUCGUAGGCGGCUUGUCGCGUCGACUGUGAAAACCCGCAGCUCAACUGCGGGCCUGCAGUCGAUACGGGCAGGCUAGAGUUCGGUAGGGGAGACUGGAAUUCCUGGUGUAGCGGUGAAAUGCGCAGAUAUCAGGAGGAACACCGGUGGCGAAGGCGGGUCUCUGGGCCGAUACUGACGCUGAGGAGCGAAAGCGUGGGGAGCGAACAGGAUUAGAUACCCUGGUAGUCCACGCUGUAAACGUUGGGCGCUAGGUGUGGGGGGCCUCUCCGGUUCCCUGUGCCGCAGCUAACGCAUUAAGCGCCCCGCCUGGGGAGUACGGCCGCAAGGCUAAAACUCAAAGGAAU
rnacentral:rRNA from 1 species